rnacentral:rRNA from 1 species
GCUGACAUGAGUAACGAUAAAACAGGUGAAAAACCUGUUCGCCGAAAACCCAAGGAUUCCUGGGUAAAGUUAAUCUUCCCAGGGUUAGUCGGACCCUAAGGCGAGGGCGAAAGCCGUAGCUGAUGGAAAACGGGUUAAUAUUCCCGUACUUCUUAUAGUGUGCGAUGGAGGGACGCAGAAAGAUAGGUGGGCCAACUGUUGGAUGUUGGUGCAAGCUGGUAGGAGUACCUCGCAGGCAAAUCCGCGAGGCGAAUCCGAGAAGCGAGUCCGUGACCGCAAGGUCUGAAGCCAUUGAGUCUCCGCUGCCAAGAAAAGCUCCUAAGUUUAGCUGUGAGAAUCCGUACUCGAAACCAACUCAGGUGGGUGGGAUGAAUAAUCCAAGGCGCUCGAGAGAACUCUGGCCAAGGAACUCGGCAAAAUGACCCCGUAACUUCGGAAGAAGGGGUGCUCCAUCGUGUGAAGAGUUUUACAUUUUGAGCACGAGGGAGCCGCAGUGAAUUGGUGGUGGCGACUGUUUACUAAAAACAUAGGUCUGUGCGAAGUCGCAAGACGACGUAUACGGACUGACGCCUGCCCGGUGCUGGAAGGUUAAAAGGAGGGGUCAGCGCAAGCGAAGCUCCGAAUUGAAGCCCCAGUAAACGGCGGCCGUAACUAUAACGGUCCUAAGGUAGCGAAAUUCCUUGUCGGGUAAGUUCCGACCUGCACGAAUGGCGUAACGAUCUCCACACUGUCUCGGCCAGAAACUCGGUGAAAUUGAAGUCGCGGUGAAAAUGCCGUGUACCCGCAGAAAGACGGAAAGACCCUGUGCACCUUUACUAUAGCUUGACAUUGGAUUUUGGGCCUACAUGUGUAGGAUAGGUGGGAGACUGUGAAAUAUGUACGCCAGUAUGUGUGGAGUCAUCCUUGAAAUACCACCCUUGUAUGUCUAAGGUCCUAACGUGACGCCGUGAUCCGGCUCACAGACAGUGUCUGGUGGGUAGUUUGACUGGGGCGGUCGCCUCCUAAAGAGUAACGGAGGCAUACAAAGGUUCCCUCAGGCUGUUUGGAAAUCAGCCGUCGAGUGCAAACGCAUAAGGGAGCUUGACUGUAAGAGAGACAUUUCGAGCAGAUACGAAAGUAGGUGUUAGUGAUCCGGUGGUCCCGUAUGGAAGGGCCAUCGCUCAUUGGAUAAAAGGUACGCCGGGGAUAACAGGCUGAUCGCAUCCAAGAGUUCAUAUCGACGAUGCGGUUUGGCACCUCGAUGUCGGCUCAUCACAUCCUGGGGCUGAAGCAGGUCCCAAGGGUACGGCUGUUCGCCGUUUAAAGUGGUACGCGAGCUGGGUUUAAAACGUCGUGAGACAGUUUGGUCCCUAUCUUCUGUGGGCGUAGGAAAAUUGAAAGGGCCUGUUCCUAGUACGAGAGGACCGGAAUGGACGCACCUCUGGUGGACCUGUUGUCGUGCCAACGGCACAGCAGGGUAGCUAUGUGCGGAAGGGAUAACCGCUGAAAGCAUCUAAGCGGGAAGCCUGCCUUAAGAUAAGUUUUCCCUGAAGGACCGAUGCAGACUACAUCGUUGAUAGGCCGGAGGUGUAAGUAUAGCGAUAUAUUUAGCUGACCGGUACUAAUAGUCCGAUUGUCUUGUUUCA